AGGAGUUCAGGGAGCAUUUGGGCCGCGCUCUCAUAUAGGUUGUCUGGUUUUUGAAUAGUUCUGUAUGGAAUCAAAAUCUGGACUUGAUGAUCCUUAAGGAAAGAAAAAACUAUUCUCGGUCACAAGAUGUCCUCUUUUCCCUUUCUGCUCAUCUGCAGUGUGUGCUCCCUAACUACCUUGCCUUCAGCAUUAGGAGUGAUGUGCUUCUCAAUAGCUGGUUGUGUACCUGUAACACAGACGAGGAACCAAAUAUGAAUAGUCUCUUUGAUUUGUCUGUGUGUGCAUAAUACUCUUUCUCUGUCCUUUCUGUGUGUACCAGUUCCUCCACCUUAUUGAUGAGAAAGUCACAAAGAUUUCAUGCUGCAGUGGUUAAAAAGACAAACUACAUUGGAUAAAACGAUCCAGUACAAAUAAAAUAACCAGUACAGAGGAACUGUGAGAAGCUUUCCAGGCAAUGAAGCUCUUGACACAGAAUCAUAGAAUCAUAGAAUGAUUUGAGUUGGAAGGGACCUUUAAGAUCAUCUAGUUCCAACCCCCCUGCUAUAGCCAGGACACCUUCCACUAGACAACUACAUUGCUCUAAGACCUGUCCCACCUAAUCUUGAAUGUGUCCAGGGAGGUAUCAUCCACAACCUCUCUGGGCAAAUUAAUAUGCACAAUUAACAUUCUGAUUUGCUAUUCCAUUUGAAGUAUUUUCAUUACAUGUAUUUAUUAUUUACACAUAAUCAAUUUUCAUGAUUCUGACUUGAAUUCUUCCCUUAAACAAUUAGCAAUUUGACCCUUUCACUUUCUUCCUAGAAGUUAUAUGUGAAAAAAAACCCCACCAUUAACUAUGAAAUUUAUAUUCCUAAAUUGAAAAAAAAAUGAUGACUUUCUGCGUAUUUUCUGUCAAGUCCAUUUUACAACUUAAGUAAAAUCCUCCUGCUCUUUUACUGGAAAUUAGCAAAUAUGCUCUGGAUGCAGAAGAGAGUGUUACUGAGGGCAGUAAGAGUUUGAUCUGGUUAGAAAUUUUCAAAUGCUCUUCAGAAGAGGCAGAUUUAUCAGAACUGAAACUUAACAAAACUGUUAGAUUUGUAUGGCAAAAAUAACUUCCCAGAUUGAACUGUCAGAGAUAAUCAAAUUGCAUCACUUUUUAGGAUAGAUUUAAUAGUCAUAACAUUCAUAGGUAAUGUAGAUGACUCAUUCAUCUCUGUUUUGUGCAUGGUUCAAAUUUGAAGCUUUAAAUUAUUUUUCCUCUGGGCUAUUAAUUACUUAUAAUUUCCUUUGAUUUGCCCUGCUAAAAUUCCAAUGGACACUAACAUAUAUUUCAACGAGAACAUGGGCAUGCCCUGAGCUGAAGGCAUGUGGUAUUCUCUCUGGACUAGUGAAUUAGACUUUGUUGCAGGAAUAAAUACUAAACAGCUAGUAAGAGUUUACUGACCUUACUGAAAUAAGGAUGGUUUUAGAUUAUACUUUGUGUUUCACAGUACAAAAUAAGGAGACGAUUACUUGAAAUAGUAUUUUCAUGAAAUAUGUUCAAGGAUUGGAAUGUGAAUAAACAGAAACAAUCACUGG
ensembl:lncRNA